rnacentral:lncRNA from 1 species
UAGCAAAUAUCUUUCUUUUUUUCCUCCUUCCAAACAGUGGUUUUCCAUUUACUGCUUAAUAUUACCAGUGACGGGAGGGCCACUGCUUUGCAAGGAAUCUUAUCGAUGAUUUCACAGUUCUGUAUGAGAAUCUUUUCUUCCUUUAGGUCCAGCGUUUGAGUCUAGUUCCUUUCUCUGAAGGACACAAGAACAACUUUCCUCUCUCCACAGAAUGUUUUCCAUCUUGGUGUUAUUUGUGAGCUGUCUAAAGCCCUAAAGAGGAAGAGCUGCUCCAAGAGGUCACCAGUAAGAAUCCAUGAUAAUGCUACCACUAAAGUCUUUAGCAGAGUAGCAGAAACCUGGGCCUGCAUCCAAAGUAAGUUUCAACUUAAACCUCUUUCCAAGUUUUGUUCUUCAGAAAGAUUAAGAAAGUACAUUUA